rnacentral:lncRNA from 1 species
ACGAAAGAAAAGACUACCUUUCCACUUUUUGUUUCCGGUCCGGCUUGAUUCGUACUCUGUAUGGAUCGGUUCUGUUGUUGUUGUGUCCUUGCGGUUGGAUCUGUUGUUGUCUUUCUCUGCUUUUCCGAUCUGCUUCUUCUGUGUUGUGUGAUUCUGCUGCGCGUCUCUGGCUUUCUCUGUGUGUUGCUCUUGCUUCUGCGUUUUUCCGUGUUCUGCUGUGUGAUCCCCGUGUGUUGUUCUUGUGUUGUGCAGGGCUCUAUUUAUAGAGUGAGGUUGAGGCUAGGGUUUGUUUAAAAUCCGCAGAAAUUAGGUGAUUGGGAUGGAAUCGGAUUUGGAUGAAAGAUGGAGACGCGUUUGUGUUCCUGGGUUUUUUGGC